UGUAGAGGUGCUAGUGGAAGUUAGGAACCGGUGGAGUAUUGAGUCAUGGACUUUGGAUGCUCCUUUCACAUGUGUUCAAAGAAUUAAUACUUUGAGACUCUAGAGCUAGUUGAAGGUGGAGCCGUUCUGCUUGAAGACGGAAAGCUUGAAGGUUCAAGGUAUGGGUUCAGUUUGUCUUACGAAGUUUGACAAAUGUGAGUUUCUUUACACAAUGUGAGGUAUGUUUCUGAACUUAGAUGCAAAGAUUGUUGGUCAUGCAUCUAUAACUAGUGGUGAUUCUCAUAAUGUGGUUGAGUUUUGGGACUUCGGGUGGACCUGUUAGUGACAUGUGUUUUGUUGGACUAGUGAACAAGGUUUACUAGGUGUUGAACUGAACUGGAAUUGUUGGAGACUAACAAUAGCUUGAAGUAUGUUUCAGAGGAGUUGAAUAGGUCUUGCGUGUUACAAGGUGGAGAUCAUGGUGGGUAUACUUUGGUGGAAACUCAGUUUGAGGUGGAGUCUUCCAAUAGUGGUAGACAGUCAACAUUAGCUCUUGGCUAUCUAAUCGUAGAUUUGGAGGAGAGUGGUAUUGUUGAACCAAAGGGGAUGACCAUGGAGACCUUGUGGAUUAUGUUUCAAUUGUGGCUGAAGAAGUGCAAGACCUUGAGAAGAUGGCAAUUGAAAGCAAC
rnacentral:lncRNA from 1 species